CGAACGGGUGAGUAAUAUAUCGGAACGUGCCCAAUAGUGGGGGAUAGCCCGGCGAAAGCCGGAUUAAUACCGCAUACGACCUGAGGGUGAAAGCGGGGGAUCGCAAGACCUCGCGCUAUUGGAGCGGCCGAUAUCAGAUUAGCUAGUUGGUGGGGUAAAGGCCUACCAAGGCGACGAUCUGUAGCUGGUCUGAGAGGACGACCAGCCACACUGGGACUGAGACACGGCCCAG
rnacentral:rRNA from 1 species